AUCUGGUGUAAUCAUCGCGUUUGGUUGCCAUCGUUACGACUGUCAUCUUCAAGUGCUUAACCGCCGCUUUAGCAGACGACAGCUGUAAACAAAAGCAAGGCCAAGAUCAAAGACACUUUUUUUUCAUUUUUUUUUGAGCAGCCUUUCCUCUUUUUAGGAUUGGAACAAAGAUUGGAAGCCUGGUCCAUAUCGCAAGACAGGCAAGAAAAAGUGAUCCCAAUUUCAUUGUAGAUGAUAAAACAAGCUGUAAAAAAUGAUAAUGAGCCUCCUGCAAUCUUUGAGGUGAGAGAAAAUUUUGAUGACAUUAAAAGGGAGAGUGAGGAAGCAGCAGAAGAUAACCCUGAAAUGAGCUCCAACGGAGAUGAGAAUGGAGAUGAUGAUUUUAACUUGGAAGCAUUCAAUAAGGAAUAUCCUGAGCUUAGUGACACAACACACCAAAGAAAAUAUGGAUGUAAAGAUGCUUGAAAGUCUUUUCAUCACAAGAAUGUUUUGACAGUGAUUAUUUGCGACUUCACGUCAUCCAACAUCGCUCAGGGAGGGAAGCCCCUUAAAUGUGACGUUUUUACGACCGAUCCAACUUGCGUCAACAUACGAGAUCAAGGGUGAAAAACUGGCCAUUUGUCCGUACUGUCCGCACAAAUACUUAAACUGUCUAAUGACAUGAGAAAACAUUUGACUAUUCACAUGAAUGAAAAAGCACUUUAGUAUGAUACCAGUGUUUAGGUAAAAUUUUCUCGCUUUAAACUGCGCUGAAAACUGGAUUAGUUGCCCACCAGCGGUUACACACAGGAGAACGUCGUUUUGCUUGUGAAUAUUGACCAAUGUGUUUCCAAUAUCACACGUCAAUGACACGAUUUGGCUAAUUCAUACAGAUUUUGUGCCCUCAGUGUGGUAAGAGAUUUACGCAAGUUGAAAAUAUGAAGCGUGAUAUGCUGACGCACACAUCAGAAAGCAAAGAACAACUUUAUCCCGGUCCUUUUUGUGGUGUUGAGUUGGCAUCGAAGAGCGACGUCCGAAUCCAUGUGGCCAAAGAACACGAGCAAAAGAAUAAGAGUCAGCAGCCCAAUACCACCGGAUCUUCAGUAGCAGAAGAAAAUCCUGAUUGAGAAGCUAACAAUGAGUUCAUAACUAUUUACUCGGAGCAGGACAAAUCUAUCAAGACUAACGUUGAAUGCGAAGAAACAAGAAGACAUUUGGACAUGCUGAUUCAUGCGGAUUGAUUCAUAUCUGUCGAACUUUUCCGCCAGAAGCCACCCAUUAGCGUGCUUUAGCGAUCGGUGUGUGUUUAGUAUCUGUGUGUUCUUACAAUUCCCGUUCCUUCUACUAUUCUUUCACUUUUUUUGUUAAAUUUCACACUUGGACUUGACGGCUCAGUUUUCAUGCAAUUAGCUUGUGUUAUUUAAAUUUUAAAUGUAAUGGCGCCUAUCAUUGCUGCAGUAACAUCACAAAUUACGAGUAAACGCGAUUAAAGUUUAAA